rnacentral:rRNA from 1 species
UACGUAGGUGGCAAGCGUUGUCCGGAUUUACUGGGCGUAAAGCGAACGCAGGCGGACCUUUAAGUAGGAAGUGAAAGGUUGGAGCUCAACUCUAACACUGCUCCCUAUACUGGAGGUCUGAGUGCCGGAGAGGAAGACGGAACAAGUUGUGUAGCGGUGAAAUGCGUUGAUAUAACUUGGAACACCAAUGGCGAAAGCAGUCUUCUGGACGGAUACUGACGCUCAGGUUCGAAAGCCAAAGGUAGCAAACAGG